GACGAACGCUGGCGGCGUGCUUAACACAUGCAAGUCGAGCGGUAAGGCCCUUUCGGGGUACACGAGCGGCGAACGGGUGAGUAACACGUGGGUGACCUGCCCUUAGCUCUGGGAUGAGCCUGGGAAACUGGGUCUAAUACCGGAUAUGACUCCAUAACGCAUGUUGUGGGGUGGAAAGCCUUGUGCGGCUAGGGAUGGGCCCCGCGGCCUAUCAACUUGUUGGUGGGGUGAUGGCCUACCAAGGCGACGACGGGUAGCCGGCCUGAGAGGGCGACCGGCCACACUGGGACUGAGACACGGCCCAGACUCCUACGGGAGGCAGCCAGUGGGGAAUCUUGCGCAAUGGGCGAAAGCCUGACGCAGCGACGCCGCGUGGGGAUGACGGCCU
rnacentral:rRNA from 1 species